rnacentral:rRNA from 1 species
UACGUAGGCAGCGAGCGUUGUUCGGAGUUACUGGGCGUAAAGGGUGUGUAGGCGGUUUUUUAAGUUUGGUGUGAAAUCUCCCGGCUCAACUGGGAGGGUGCGCCGAAUACUGAAAGACUAGAGUACGGGAGAGGAAAGUGGAAUUCCUGGUGUAGCGGUGAAAUGCGUAGAUAUCUGGAGGAACACCGGUGGCGAAGGCGGCAUCCUGGACCGGUAUUGACGCUGAGGAGCGAAAGCCAGGGGAGCAAACGGG